AACAUUUUUACCCGUAAAACUGUAAACAUUGUGUAUAAAUAGAACUGAUUUAUUAAAUUCAUCUAUUGAUACUCUGACACACACACACUUGAAAAAGAAAUUGGACAAAGUUAUUGUUUCUCCUGAAUCAGAAGUUAACAUUUUGGUACAGAUGUUAUUGCCGUUUUCUUUAAUUUUGAAAAAAAUAUCUGUAGUAACGAAGUUACAACACGACGAAAUAUUGCGGUUCCUGAAAAGAAAAAAAAUCAUCAUAAAAAAAGAAGACACAGAUUUCGCAAAUCUAUGCGAUGGCGAAGACAAAAUGUUUUCAGUUUGUUUUAAAUGUCUGUAAACAGAAAAAUAUGGGUU
rnacentral:lncRNA from 1 species